GUAGUUUAUUUAAUUAAACAGUAACUUAGAAAGAUGCUUAGUAUGACAGAAUCUAGAAUUAACCGCGAAAUUAUCUUCCUCCGUCAACGAUCUUAACUCCGCCGUCUUCCGCCGCUGAUCUUCGAAGCGGGCAAUCCCGGAGACUAUAUUUUCUCCGUACUAGAGAAGAGAGAGAUCUUGGAAGUUUUUACAGAUAAUAAGUGUCCGGAGCAAUGGCUUCCCUUAAAAUCAAAGCGGUUUUCUGUAUGCAAUUGCUACCUUUGCUCAUCGGAGCUUUUUCCGUUAUCCGAAUCAACGGUAGUUGGGAUGUGGAAGAAGGAUUGCUACGCAGGCAAACCGGACACCAGAGAGAGUUUGAUUACUUCAAGCUAUCUCUCUUAUGGCCUGGCACGGCUUGCCGGAAUACCACCAAAUGUUGCUCUUCCAAUGCCUGUUGCCGCUCAAACUCACCAUCAAUAUUCACUAUUCAUGGACUUUGGGCUGAUUACAAUGACGGAACGUGGCCUGCAUGUUGUUCUGGCCCCCAAUUUGAUAAGGAGCAGAUUUCAACAUUGCGUAAGCCUAUGAAGAAGUACUGGCCUUCUUUUAGUUGCAAGGCCACCUCAACUUGUCAUCACGAAAAAGGAUCAUUUUGGGCUCAUGAGUGGGAAAAACACGGGACAUGUUCUUAUCCAGUUGUCCACGAUGAGUAUGAGUACUUCCUGAUGACUUUGAAUGUUUACUUCAAAUAUAACGUCACUGGAAUUCUGUUUGAAGCCGGGUAUGUACCCUCAAAUUCUGAGAAAUAUCCACUGGGAGGCAUCAUUUCAGCCAUUCAAAAUGCCUUUCAUGCAACUCCAGAGUUGAUAUGCUCAGGCGAUGCGGUGGAGGAACUAAGAAUAUGCUUCUAUAAGGAUUUACAGCCUCGUGAUUGUGCAAGUGGUUCUAUCAUCAAAAGUGGUAGAGUCUCUUCUGGGUCAUGUCCUCAGUAUGUCAGCUUGCCAGUAGUAAAUGGAUCAGGGGGUAACAAACAAGUGGCUGGGUUCGGUCUCAAGCUUUGCUUUGCAGUUCACUUACUAUUGAUUUUUGCAUUUAUCUGAGAAGGGCUUGACAACACAACGGCAGAUUUUUUAUCUGAGUGAUAGUCUUACAGCAGUUCCCCAUGGUCUAAGUCAAUUUGAUCAGGAAAAGAGGGACUUUCCCCAAAAGGGUAGAGAUUACAGUAUAUAAAACAGAUGGAACUCCAGAAAAGUAUGGUAAACAACUCUAUGUCGAGCACCAAAACACAUCUCUUCAUUAAGCCAAAACAGUUGCUUCAUCCAUGUUUAAGUUUUCCCAAGAAUCAGGAGACUGAAAUCCCUCAGAUAAAUAAUAUAGUUGAAAACCCAAUACUACAGUCCCAACCAUUUUUACAGUUUCUAAUUUUCUGUAAAUUGUCUUUUUGAAGCAAUUCUUUUUCGUGAAUAAAUCUGGAGGACAAUUUCCCCAAUCA